rnacentral:lncRNA from 1 species
UUCAUUCACAAGAAGAAAUCGCUAUUCACCUUGAGGGACUCAGAGCUGAGCAUCCAGCCAAACAAAAGGAUAGAGCUUUACAACACUGCCACUCUCACUGUAUCAAGAAACAACACUUUCUCCAACAAAAGAGUUCUGGAUGCAUGUUUAUAAAGGGUAAAUCAUUUUGGAUGGAUGCAUGUUUAUAAAAGUGAAGGUAACAUGGAAGUUGUCCCUCUGAACAAAGUUCCUCAGUAGCAGGUGAGAGUCUCACUCUUGGGGCUGGAAGGAGGUGUGCUGCCUCUGUGUCAGAAAGCAGCAGGACUUGAGGUAAUGCUACCAAAUC